rnacentral:misc_RNA from 1 species
UCAUCUCAAUCCAUCAGCUUUUUCUUAAGGCUGCUUGGUUUGGAUUUGGGAGCUUGCUGGCCCGUCAAGGGUCCGCUCUCCUUGAAUGCAUGAGUGAGUGUCUGGCUCGCGUUGCUAGUGUGAUAGUCUUUCAUCAUUAGCGGCGCUUGCCUAAAGGGCUUGCUUUCGAACCGUCUUCUCAACGGAGACACUAAUUUGACCA